rnacentral:rRNA from 1 species
AGUGAACGCUGGCGGUAGGCCUAACACAUGCAAGUCGAACGGCAGCACAGUAGGAGCUUGCUCUUACGGGUGGCGAGUGGCGGACGGGUGAGGAAUACAUCGGAAUCUACCUUUUCGUGGGGGAUAACGUAGGGAAACUUACGCUAAUACCGCAUACGACCUACGGGUGAAAGCAGGGGAUCUUCGGACCUUGCGCGAUUGAAUGAGCCGAUGUCGGAUUAGCUAGUUGGCGGGGUAAAGGCCCACCAAGGCGACGAUCCGUAGCUGGUCUGAGAGGAUGAUCAGCCACACUGGAACUGAGACACGGUCCAGACUCCUACGGGAGGCAGCAGUGGGGAAUAUUGGACAAUGGGCGCAAGCCUGAUCCAGCCAUACCGCGUGGGUGAAGAAGGCCUUCGGGUUGUAAAGCCCUUUUGUUGGGAAAGAAAAGCAGCAGGUUAAUACCCCGCUGUUCUGACGGUACCCAAAGAAUAAGCACCGGCUAACUUCGUG